UACGUAGGGGGCGAGCGUUGUCCGGAUUUAUUGGGCGUAAAGAGCGUGUAGGCGGCCGUACAGGUCAGCUGUGAAAACUCGAGGCUCAACCUCGAGACGUCGGUUGAAACCGUACGGCUAGAGUCCGGAAGAGGAGAGUGGAAUUCCCGGUGUAGCGGUGAAAUGCGCAGAUAUCGGGAAGAACACCCGUGGCGAAGGCGGCUCUCUGGGACGGUACUGACGCUGAGACGCGAAAGCGUGGGGAGCGAACAGG
rnacentral:rRNA from 1 species